AGAUUGAACGCUGGCGGCAGGCCUAACACAUGCAAGUCGAGCGGCAGCACGGGUACUUGUACCUGGUGGCGAGCGGCGGACGGGUGAGUAAUGCCUAGGAAUCUGCCUGGUAGUGGGGGAUAACGCUCGGAAACGGACGCUAAUACCGCAUACGUCCUACGGGAGAAAGCGAGGGGACCUUCGGGCCUUGCGCUAUCAGAUG
rnacentral:rRNA from 1 species